rnacentral:rRNA from 1 species
GACGUAAGGGGCGAGCGUUAUUCGGAAUUAUUGGGCGUAAAGCGCUCGUAGGCGGGACCGAAAGUCGGUGAGGAAAGACCUGGGCUCAACUCAGGGAACUGCAUCGAUACUUCGGUUCUUGAGGUAAUCAGAGGGUGAUGGAAUUCCCGGUGUAGCGGUGAAAUGCGUAGAUAUGCGGAGGAACACCGAUGGCGAAGGCAAUCCCCUGGGCCUG